rnacentral:rRNA from 1 species
AUUGAACGCUGGCGGCAUGCCUAAUACAUGCAAGUCGAACGAGUGGCGGACGGGCGAGCAAUGUCUGGGCAACUGUUCGAUGGACGGGUCUAACUACUGUAACCAGUAGCUAAUACUGCAUACCUCUCUUUCUGCUCAGAUGGGAGUAGCUAGCCGGUGGGGUAACGGCUCACCUAGGCGACGAUCCCUAGCUGGUCUGAGAGGAGGACCAGCCACACGGGAACUGAGACACGGUCCAGACGCCUACGGGAGGCAGCAGUGGGGAAUAUUGCACAAUGGGCGCAAGCCUGAUGCAGCCAUGCCGCGUGUAUGAAGAAGGCCUUCGGGUUGUAAAGUACUUUCAGCGAGGAGGCGUUACUCGCAGAGGAAGCACCGGCUAACUCCGUGCCAGCAGCCGCGGUAAUUC